GACGAACGCUGGCGGCGUGCUUAACACAUGCAAGUCGAACGCUGAAGCUUGGUGCUUGCACUGGGUGGAUGAGUGGCGAACGGGUGAGUAAUACGUGUGUAACCUGCCCUUGACUCUGGGAUAAGCCUGGGAAACUGGGUCUAAUACUGGAUACGACAUGUCACCGCAUGGUGGUGUGUGGAAAGGGUUUUACUGGUUUUGGAUGGGCUCACGGCCUAUCAGCUUGUUGGUGGGGUAAUGGCUCACCAAGGCGACGACGGGUAGCCGGCCUGAGAGGGUGACCGGCCACACUGGGACUGAGACACGGCCCAGACUCCUACGGGAGGCAGCAGUGGGGAAUAUUGCACAAUGGGCGGAAGCCUGAUGCAGCGACGCCGCGUGAGGGAUGACGGCCUUCGGGUUGUAAACCUCUUUCAGCACGGAAGAAGCGAAAGUGACGGUACGGGCAGAAGAAGCGCCGGCUAACUACGUG
rnacentral:rRNA from 1 species